GACGAACGCUGGCGGCGUGCCUAAUACACGCAAGUAGAACGCAGUGGCGGACGGGUGCGUAACACGUAGGUAACUGCCUCAUAGAGGGGGAUAACUAUUGGAAACGAAAGCUCAUACCGCAUACUGUGAGAUGGACCUGAGUUGUAUUAGCUAGUUGGUGAGGUAAAGGGUCACCAAGGCAACGAUACAUAGCCGACCAGGGAGGGGGAUCGGCCACACUGGGACUGAGACACGGCCCAGACUCCUACGGGAGGCAGCAGUAGGAAAUCGUCGGCAAGGGACGGAAGACUGACCGAGCAACGCCGCGUGAGUGAAGAGGGUUUGCGGGUCGGAAAGCUCUGUUGUUAGAGAAGCGGGAACUAACCAGAAAGGGGCGGCUGAAUACGUGCCAGCAGCCGCGGUAAUAC
rnacentral:rRNA from 1 species